UUUCUUUUCCGAAGCAUUGCUGCACGGGACGCUGCGAUACCGUUAGCUAGAAGCUGAAUUAAACCCAAUGGUUAAAAAACUGACAGCUUGCGGUGUAACGUGUGACUGUAUUCCCUGUAGAGGAGUCCGACACCGGGACGUAACGGUCUGCAGCUCCCGGUGUCGG